CACAUGGGUAAAUACCUGCUGGAGUCUCCACCAGAGAAACUACGCAAGGAGCUGGAGGAGGAGCUGAAACUCUGCAGCAGCGAUAUCAGGAGCCAUGGCUGGUACCAUGGGCACAUCCCUCGAGAGCUAUCGGAGACUGUAGUCCUGCAGAACGGUGAUUUCCUGAUCCGGGAUUCGCUGAUUAACAUGGGCGACUACGUCCUAACGACCCGCUGGAACCACGAGGUUCUGCAUUUUAAGAUCACCAAGGUCCUGGUCAAGUCCAGCACUGAGUCGAAGGUCCAGUACCUGUUAGAGACGGACAGCUUCGACUCCAUACCUGAACUGGUGAGGUUCUACGUGGCCGGGCGGCGGCCUGUCUCCCAGCCCAGUGGAGCCCAGAUCUACUGUCCAAUCAUACGCACCCUACCCCUGCGCUACCUGGAGGCCACAUUUGCCUUAGCCAAUAGCAGGCACAGCCUGGCCCACUCACCGUCCAGUCAGAGAGGAGCGUACAUCAAGAGGCGGAGCGUAACCAUGAACGACGGAUUGACCACAGAGAAGCUGAUACCUCACAGCCCUUCUACUAUUCACAACCACAAGGAUGCGAUGAGGAACUGUGCCAUGAGUAUGGAUCAGAUCCAGGAGUAUCGCUGUCCCCUGUCUCCGGUAGGAGAAACACCUCUCUCCCCAGCAUACAGCCACAGGGGUAGAGUUCUGGCAGUGGUGCCCCCCUCACCAGUCCUGAGACGCUCCAGCGAGCCCCAGCUCAGCCCUGGCUCCAACAACAACCUACCCGACAUGCUAGCUGCCAGCUCCCACUCCACCCCGGCCCACUGCUCCUGCCCAGCCCCAGCAGGGGGCUCUGAAACAGAGGGAAGCUACUGCGACCUCAGGCCCUCCCCGGCCCCAUGUCCCGGGGCUCCAUGUGCCGCUGGCAUGCCCCCCACACCUCCAGCUAAGAGCUAUGUGGAGCGGCUGCGUGUGGAGGAGGGCCGAGGGCCUGCCCCGGGGAGGGAGAACGGAGCAGGGGCUGGGGGAGAGGCGUUCAGCGCCCCCCUGGUGGAGACUGCCUCCUCCUUCAGACCAGGGAAGUACCUGUCACCCCUGAUCCCCCAGGAGAACAAGCCCUUAGAGAUGAGCGUACUGAAGAGAGUCAAGGAGUUGUUGGCUGAGGUGGACGCUAGGACGGCUGCUAAACACAUCACAAUGGCUGACUGCAAGGUUGCUAGGAUACUGGGCGUUACCAAGGAGAUGCAGAGGAUGAUGGGAGUAGGUUCAGGACUGGAGCUUUUGACUCUACCUCACGGACAUCAGCUGAGACUGGACCUACUGGAGAGGUUCUACACCAUGUCUAUAAUGAUGGCUGUGGACCUGCUGGGGUGUACAGGCAGUACAGAGGAGAGGGCUGCUCUGCUCCAUAAGACCAUCCAGCUGGCUGCUGAACUCAAGAGCAACCUGGGGAACAUGUUCGGCUUUGCUGCUGUGAUGAGAGCACUGGAGCUGCCACAGAUUUCUCGCUUGGAGCAGACGUGGAUGACGUUGCGUCAGAGACACACAGAGGGAGCCAUACUCUAUGAGAAGAAGCUCAAGCCCUUCAUGAAGAACAUGAACGAUGGCAAAGAGAGCAGUGUGCUGUCCAACACGUCCUUCCCUCACGUGGUUCCUCUGCUGUCUCUGUUGGAGAAGGGUGUGGCCUUGGGGGAGGGGCCAGGGGCGGGGAUAGAAUCCUGGGAGAACGUGGAGGCGGGCGUUGAUGUUGUGAUGUCACACCUGGAGGCGGCCCGGACCAUCGCUCACCACGGGGUGCUGUACCGCACCAACGCUGAGACCAAACUACAAGGCUUCCAGGAGAGUCAGGAAGUUCUGGAGAUCUUCCGGACAGAGUUCCAGAUGAGGUUGCUAUGGGGAAGCAGGGGUUCGGAGGGCAGCCAAUCGGAACGCUAUGAGAAGUUCAACAAAGUCCUGACCGCUCUGUCUCACAAGCUGGAGCCUCCUGUACGCCACAGCGAACUAUAGCACCCAUCUCACUGAACACCCCUA
rnacentral:lncRNA from 8 species